CACAGAAGCAUUCUUCAGCAAAGAUAAUUAAUUCAAACAUUAAAAAUAUAUACAUUCUGUUGUUUUGCUUUCCUCUUUCAGAAAGGGAGUUUUAAAAACCUUUUUCCUUCACCUAGUAGACCUGGCAGUAUAUGAGUGUUUGUUAUUUCUCCUGUGCUGUGGAGUCCUCAUACGCUUUGCCACCUUACAGCUGCACCACUCGCGAAGACCCUGUUUUUGUGAUCUAGCUGAAUUGUGACUUCAGGAAGAUGAAGUUUGGAUGUUGCCGUUCUUGUGGCAAACACAGGUGACACACCAAUACAGGGGGCUGGAUGCUGGUCCCCCCUGGGCAUGGCGUGAAUUCUUCAGAGUAUGGAUGUACGCAGUGUACGGGUGAGGGGUGUCCCUGUUCGUGUCCCUAAAGAGGGAACAAGAAGGACGCUGAUAAAACUCCAGAUGGUUUGCUCAUCCACGUCUACUCCACACAUUUCUCCUAGAUGGCGGCACCUCCUUUCCAUCCUGACUUGGAGGGGCUUCAUUUCAGACGGUUGAGACUUUUCCAAGCCAGGAUUGGGCUGAUGCAGGGGACCUCCUCCGAGCAAGAGGGUGCAUGCCAUGGAUGACAAAGGCAGGAGCUGCUCAGUCCAAACCCGGGUCCCCCAACCACCGUCUAGUGGACGUGUAACAUCGGGCAAGUGAUGCAGCUUUCC